CCUACGGGAGGCUGCAGUGGGGAAUAUUGGACAAUGGGGGAAACCCUGAUCCAGCGACGCCGCGUGAGUGAAGAAGUAUUUCUGUACGUAAAGCUCUAUCAGCAGGAGAGAAAAUGACGGUACCUGACUAAGACUCCCCGGCUAACUCGGUGCCAGCAGCCGCGGUAAUACGUAGGGGGCAAGCGUUAUCCGGAUUUACUGGGUGUAAUGGGAGCGUAGACGGCAGCGUAAGUCUGGAGUGAAAUGCCGGGGCCCAACCCUGGAACUGCUGUGGAAACUGGGAAGCUGGAGUGCAGGAGAGGUAAGCGGAAUUCCUGGUGUAGCGGUGAAAUGCGUAGAUAUCAGGAGGAACACCGGCGGCGAAGGCGGCUUACUGGACUGCAACUGACGUUGAGGCUCGAAGGCGUGGGGAGCAAACAGGAUUAGAUACCCUAGUAGUC
rnacentral:rRNA from 1 species